rnacentral:rRNA from 1 species
UACGUAGGGUGCAAGCGUUAUUCGGAAUUACUGGGCGUAAAGCGUGCGCAGGCGGUUUUGUAAGUCUGUCGUGAAAGUCCCGGGCUUAACCUGGGAAUUGCGAUGGAGACUGCAAGGCUUGAAUCUGGCAGAGGGGGGUAGAAUUCCACGUGUAGCAGUGAAAUGCGUAGAGAUGUGGAGGAACACCGAUGGCGAAGGCAGCCCCCUGGGUCAAGAUUGACGCUCAUGCACGAAAGCGUGGGGAGCAAACAGG